CUCAAGGUACAGCUAAAUCAUCAUCAUCCUCCGACGGCCGUCCAAGGCUAGCCAACGCCUCUGGCGAUGAAUCGAUGGACUGCGAACAAGCAGAAGCAGAAUCUGUGGAGAAGUCAGAUAUUGAGCUACCCAACAAUAGUCUCAAUGGCACUACUACGACUUCUACAGUUGAAAAACUGAGAAAACGGUUUCUUGAUAAGAUCGGUAUCGUCAAGAAUAUCACGUAGAUGGUAGAUGAUAAAACCACGAUGUCAACAGCUUUAAAACAACUGGAAAAUAUUCAGCUAAUGCUAAAGAAGAGCUGCUCUUCAACGCACGGUAUUCCUCUCAGAACAAGCCCAGUCGAGAAGAAGUUAAAGAUCACGUCAACGGAAUACCAUCAAGUAUUUCACAAGAAAUUGCCCCCUAGACGACGCUGGAAAAAGAAGACUCCGAAGGCUGAUGUGAUUUUCAUUGAAGAAGACAGCAAUGACGAUGUUGAUGAUGAUGAUGCUAAGAGGAAGGCAACCAACUUUUUCGUUGCAGACUUAACUGCGAGUGGUGACGGAGAGCAGAACACUGUUUCGCAGGAUGAUGAAGCAAACACUACCCGUUUAGAUCUUGAAACGCUAGGGUUAGGCCAUAAGUUCUCUGAUAAAUACGGUUCUGGAUCGAAAGCAGAAAACUAGAUAUUAUUUCGAUCCCAUGAAUGGGCGUGUACACACCAUUUUUAGCACCUCAGUUCCUAAGAGCAAACUGAUAGAAUUGAUCGAUGACAUCAGUGCCAUUGCUGAUCUCAAAACGGGAUGGAAUUGCAAGUCAUGGCUAUGUGUUGAACCACUACAUUACACACAGACCGAUAGCUAUAACUAUGGUGUGAUUGUAUGUCUUGUGAGUAGCAUAAUCACUUGCUAAAGCUCACUUUAAUAGGACUGCUUCCUGGUUUCGAAUGUAUUAAAUUUCUCUUUGUUUGUUUUAA
rnacentral:misc_RNA from 1 species